GGGAAAGUAUAAAGAAAGGAAGCCAGAGGUAAGUAUAAAGGAAGGGAAAGGAAGGGAAUAGAAAAGAAAGGAAAAGGUAGAUAUAAUGGAAAGGAAAGCAAAGUAUAAAGGAAAGUCAAUGUAUGUAGAAUUGUAAGGAUAGGGAAGUAUAUAAAAAAGGAAAGGAAAGGUUAAUUUAAAAAAAAAAAAAAGGAAUGAAAGGAAGGUCUAAAGGAAAAUGUUACAGAACAGAAAGGGAAUGUAGGUAUAAUGCAAAGGGAAGGGAAUUAUAAAAGAAGGAAUUUAUAAAAGAAAGGAAAGCAAAGGUAAGUAUAUUGGAAAGGAUAAGAAAGUAUAAAUGAAAGGAAUGGGUAAUUUUAAAAUAGGAAUGGAAAGGAAAGUAUAAGGGAAUGGAAAGUAUAAAGGAAAGGAAAGUAUAAAAGAAAAGGAAAGUAUAUAGGGAAGGGAAAGUAUAAAAGAAAGGAAGCAAAGGUAAGUAUAUUGGAAAGGAUAAGAAAGUAUAAAUGAAAGGAAUGGGUAAGUUUAAAAUAGGAAUGGAAAGGAAAGUAUAAGGGAA